AGCAGCCGCGGUAAUUCCAGCUCCAAUAGCGUAUAUUAAAGUUGUUGCAGUUAAAAAGCUCGUAGUUGAAUUUCGGGGUCAGUAGGUUGGUCAUGCCUCCGGUAUGUACUGGUCUCACUGAUUCCUCCUUCCUGAUGAACUGUAAUGCCAUUAAUUUGGUGUUGCAGGGAAACUGGACUGUUACUUUGAAAAAAUUAGAGUGUUUAAAGCAAGCUAACGCUUGAAUACAUUAGCAUGGAAUAAUGAAAUAGGACGUUCGAUCCUAUUUUGUUGGUUUCUAGGAUUGACGUAAUGAUUAAUAGGGAUAGUUGGGGGCAUUAGUAUUCAAUUGUCAGAGGUGAAAUUCUUGGAUUUAUUGAAGACUAACUACUGCGAAAGCAUUUGCCGAGGAUGUUUUCAUUAAUCAAGAACGAAAGUUAGGGGAUCGAAGACGAUCAGAUACCGUCGUAGUCUUAACCAUAAACUAUGCCGACUAGGGAUCGGAUGAUGUUAAUUUUUAAUGA
rnacentral:rRNA from 1 species